UUGCAUUAGCUGGGUUUUAAUUUGGAGCUGUGCUGUUCAUUACUUCUAUCACAUCCAGGCUCCUCUGGCUGGCUCGGAGCUCUGGAGUGCUGCUGACCCUGGUGCUCCAUCCCUGGGCUCCCAGCUCCGGGAGUGUCACAGCACUGACACCCAGGCACUGCCUUUGGCCUGUGCAGAUCCCAGGGAUGAGCUGGGACACGGAUCCUCCACCAAAGCUGACCACACUUGUGCUGCUGGGGCUGGGCACACUUGGGGAUGUUCCACCCAUUCCCAUUCCCUGGCAUGGAACUGGUUAAAUUCACUGAGAUACAGAGCCAGUGGGAUGUGCACAGUGAGUUUGGCACCAGACAAGUUUCCAUGACUCAGUUCAGCUUCAGGAAGUUUACAGAAACAUGACAGCAGAACCUUAUAGAACCUAUAAUAGUGCAACGGCAGAGGUUUCAUAUUCUGGAAAGCAGCUUCUGGCUACAGGAAUGAGCUGGAGAAGCUGGAGUAUCCCUGGUUGGCCUGGAGUCCCUGGCUCAGAGCUAUUCCAGUGGCUUGUCUGCCCAGCUUGCCAAAGUGACUGGGAAACUUCAGAGGAGCUACUUGGAUUGGGAGCAAUGUCUUCUGUUCCACCCACAGAAGCUGUGGCUGCUGCCUCCCUGGAAGUGGCCAAGGCCAGGGUGGACAAGGCUUGGAACAAGCUGGAAGGUGUCACUGCCUGGGGCAGAUCUCAGGGGACGGUGUUGACUUACAUGUUGGAAAAGCAAUCCCUGCAAACAGCAGCUCGGAAUUGUUGUAUUAAACCUGCCACCUCCCGCCAAAACCCUCGAGCAAACAAAAACCUGGUGGAAGCUGCUGAUUUCUUCUUGACUCAACCCCCAGCCUGUUUGUCAGAUUCCAGAUGCAUUUUACAGCGGUUGAGAGACCCUGAAAUCAGCAUUCAGCUCGGCUCCUGAAUGACCCUGAUCGGCAACAACUCCGCAUAUUCCCACAAUUAAACAACGUUUGAACUUGUGUUAAUGGCAACAGAACAAUUAUCUGAACAGCCAUCCACGGGCUAAGCAGGCUGCAUCAGCAAGAGUCAAGCCUGGUGCAAAUAAAGGCUCAGCCUUGCAGAGGAAACCCAGGAAAACCUUCAACGAGAGGAAUAAAGAGUCUUUAUUUUACUCCAUAAAAUCGGCUUGUGAACAAUAUAUUGAAUGUCAGAGCAAAUGUCUGCUACAAUUUGGUUGCUUAAUUGUAAACCUUGCUAACUAUUUCCAUUUAAAAAUCAAAUCUUUAGUGUUCUGAAACUGCAGAGAGGCAUUUGCCUGGUCCUGGUGUCAGAAAUAUUCUUAUAAUGCUGGAGCUUUGUGUGGGAAAUGCAGAAGCAGCACAACAGAGUUUAACAAUUGGUGGGGGGAGUAAGAGGAGGCUUUAAGAGCUUGAGUUUAUUCUUAGUGAAAGAGAUUUCAUUAUAUUUCUGGAAAAUUUAGGAAUAAAGGAGAAGGGGGCUCAUUUAACAGAAAAUUCCAUAGAAUCAUAACAUUAUGGAAUGAUCUAGGUUGAAAUGGAACUUAAAGCUCAUCUCAUUCCACUCCCUCCCCUGCCAUGGGCAGGAACACCUUCC